AGCGGCGUAGGCCAGCCUGGUAGGCCGCAGGGCUCAUAAGGGGUAAAAUUUAUCCUUGAGAAACCCUGAGGUCCCUGGUUCAAGUCCAGGCGCCGCUA
rnacentral:tRNA from 1 species